rnacentral:rRNA from 1 species
AACUCUCAACAACGGAUAUCUUGGCUCUCGCAACGAUGAAGAACGCAGCGAAAUGCGAUACGUAGUGUGAAUUGCAUAAUUCCGUGAAUCAUCGAAUCUUUGAACGCAUAUUGCGGUGGUGNCCUCGGNUAUCACCAUGUCUGCCUCAGCGUCGGNNNAGUNNA